rnacentral:misc_RNA from 1 species
AGUUCGAUCAUGGCUCAGAUUGAACGCUGGCGGGAUGCUUUACACAUGCAAGUCGAACGGCAGCACGGACUUCGGUCUGGUGGCGAGUGGCGAACAGGUGAGUAAUGUAUCGGAACGUGCCUAGUAGCGGGGGAUAACUACGCAGCGUAGCUAAUACCGCAUACGCCCUUCGGGGGAAAGCGGGGGACCUUCGGGCCUCGCACUAUUAGAAGCGGCCGAUAUCGGAUUGGCUAGUUGGUGGGGUAACGGCUCACCAAGGCGACGAUCCGUAG